GUCGAUAAUCGACGCAAAUAAAGAUACAUCAUAUACUAAUUUUUAUUUAAAUCUUCAUUUGGUUCACCAGAAAACAUGUACCAAAAAAGAUUCAGCAUAAAACUCCUAAUUACAUAACGAGAAAAUAAAGAAAAUUAGAGAGAAGUUCUGAUAGUAUCCUAGCAUCAAUCUUAAAACGCAGAUCUGUUAAGAGAUUUGCAGUUACCUAUAACGAUAUAGGUAAAUUGUAAAUCUAACGUUCUUAAUCUAAGAAACGGCGCCGUUAGCGUUAACAUUAUUGUUGCUGCUCAUCAUCUUCUUAAACUCAUCAAAGUUCACGUUACCGUCACCGUCGGAAUCCACCGAUUUGAUCAUACUGUGACAUUCCUCGACGGAACACUUCAUCCCGAGGCGGUUCAGCACAAGGUGAAGCUCCGAAGCGGAGAUGAGGCCAUUCUUGUCCUGAUCGUAUAGAUCGAACGCGUCGCGUAGCUCAGACGCACCACCGUCGGAGCGACAGAAGGCGCCAAACUCGGAAAAGUUGAUGAAGCCGUCGUGGUCGGUGUCGAGAUCCUCCAUAACGCGCUGGAGUUCCGCGGCGGAUACGGCGGAGCCGAGAGAGCGGAGGACGGUGUCAAGCUCCGUGAUGGAGAUCUUGCCAUCGCCGUUUGCGUCGAAGCUACUGAAGACUCGCUUGAGUUCGUCGACGUUCAUGUCUUGGAGGUAUAUGGAUUCGGUUGUAACCGGUGCGAUAGGGUUCGUGUCCGCCAUUGUUAGCGCGAUUCAGAGAGAGCG